AUUGAACGCUGGCGGCAGGCUUAACACAUGCAAGUCGAGCGGAGAGAGGUAGCUUGCUACUGAUCUUAGCGGCGGACGGGUGAGUAAUGCUUAGGAAUCUGCCUAUUAGUGGGGGACAACAUUUCGAAAGGAAUGCUAAUACCGCAUACGUCCUACGGGAGAAAGCAGGGGAUCUUCGGACCUUGCGCUAAUAGAUGAGCCUAAGUCGGAUUGGCUAGUUGGUGGGGUAAAGGCCUACCAAGGCGACGAUCUGUAGCGGGUCUGAGAGGAUGGUCCGCCACACUGGGACGGGGACACGGCCCAGACUCCUACGGGAGGCAGCAGUGGGGAAUAUUGGACAAUGGGCGGAAGCCUGAUCCAGCCAUGCCGCGUGUGUGAAGAAGGCCUUAUGGUUGUAAAGCACUUUAAGCGAGGAGGAGGCUACUUUAGUUAAUACCUAGGGAUAGUGGACGUUACUCGCAGAAUAAGCACCGGCUAACUCUGUGCCAGCCGCCGCCGUAACAC
rnacentral:rRNA from 1 species